rnacentral:lncRNA from 1 species
UCGUAUUAUUGCUUUAGCCAAUAAGAAAACAGCAAUCAGUAUGUGACAUUAUUCAGUUAUUAAAAAUCGUGAUAGGAUGUGUAGUUUUCGGAUCGAUAAAAAUCAUUAGAUGAUUGCUGCAACGACUUAGAAGAUGGAAAAAGAAUUAUCAAAUAUAGACGCCAUGAUAAUUGAUGUUUUAGAGAUUAAAGCACAAAGUUAUCCGGCAGUCAGUUUGGCAGUGAUCAACAGUUGAUGGAUGCCUUCUUCACCGCGGCCAGAGUAGCACUGAUAUGAACAGACACAUCGAUA